AUUGAACGCUGGCGGCAGGCCUAACACAUGCAAGUCGAACGAGUGGCGGACGGGUGAGUAAUGUCUGGGGAACUGCCUGAUGGAGGGGGAUAACUACUGGAAACGGUAGCUAAUACCGCAUACUAUCAGAUGAGCCCAUAUGGGAUUAGCUUGUUGGUGGGGUAACGGCUCACCAAGGCGACGAUCCCUAGCUGGUCUGAGAGGAUGACCAGCAACACUGGAACUGAGACACGGACCAGACUCCUACGUGAGGCAGCAGUGGGGAAUAUGGCACAAUGGGCGCAAGCCUGAUGCAGCCAUGCCGCGUGUAUGAAGAAGGCCUUAGGGUUGUAAAGUACUUUCAGCGGGGAGGCGUUACCCGCAGAAGAAGCACCGGCUAACUCCGUGCCAGCAGCCGCGGUAAUAC
rnacentral:rRNA from 1 species